CCGCCGGCGACCGGCGCACGGGUGAGUAACACGUAUGCAACCUGGCCGUGACAGAUGGAUAACCGGGAGAAAUCCCGCCUAAUACAACAUAAUGCCGGGAGGGGACGUCCCCUGCCGGCCAAAGGGGGCGACCCCGGCCACGGAUGGGCAUGCGGCGCAUUAGGUAGUUGGUGGGGCAACGGCCCACCAAGCCGACGAUGCGUAGGGGUUCUGAGAGGAAGGUCCCCCACAUUGGAACUGAGACACGGUCCAAACUCCUACGGAAGGCAGCAG
rnacentral:rRNA from 1 species